rnacentral:rRNA from 1 species
CCCACACUGGAACUGAGACACGGUCCAGACUCCUACGGGAGGCAGCAGUAGGGAAUCUUCCGCAAUGGGCGAAAGCCUGACGGAGCAACGCCGCGUGAGUGAUGAAGGUCUUCGGAUCGUAAAACUCUGUUAUUAGGGAAGAACAUAUGUGUAAGUAACUGUGCACAUCUUGACGGUACCUAAUCAGAAAGCCACGGCUAACUACGUGCCAGCAGCCGCGGUAAUACGUAGGUGGCAAGCGUUAUCCGGAAUUAUUGGGCGUAAAGCGCGCGUAGGCGGUUUUUUAAGUCUGACGUGAAAGCCCACGGCUCAACCGUGGAGGGUCAUUGGAAACUGGAAAACUUGAGUGCAGAAGAGGAAAGUGGAAUUCCAUGUGUAGCGGUGAAAUGCGCAGAGAUAUGGAGGAACACCAGUGGCGAAGGCGACUUUCUGGUCUGUAACUGACGCUGAUGUGCGAAAGCGUGGGGAUCAAACAGGAUUAGAUACCCUGGUAGUCCACGCCGUAAACGAUGAGUGCUAAGUGUUAGGGGGUUUCCGCCCCUUAGUGCUGCAGCUAACGCAUUAAGCACUCCGCCUGGGGAGUACGACCGCAAG